AGUGAAAGGCAAAUAAGAAGAAUUCUUAAAAAAUAUGGUCAUAGGCGAAGAGGUGGAAAUGACGAAGAGUCUAUAACAGCUGCUAUAAGAGAGGAAUUGACUGGAAGUGGACGGUGCCUUGGUUACAGGGCUUUAGCGAAAAGACUCCUGUCAAAACAUGGCCUACGUGUUGCUAGGGACAAGGUUUACACUUUAUUAAAGUUAAUGGACCCCGAAGGGGUGAACCUUCGCAAGAAACACCAACUGUCAAGGAGAAUAUAUGUCAACAAAGGUCCAAACUAUUUAAUCCACAUAGAUGGGUAUGACAAGUUGAAGGCCUAUGGCUUUGCAAUACA